UGGGGCGGUCGCCUCCUAAAAGGUAACGGAGGCGCUCAAAGGUUCCCUCAGAAUGGUUGGAAAUCAUUCAUAGAGUGUAAAGGCAUAAGGGAGCUUGACUGCGAGACCUACAAGUCGAGCAGGGUCGAAAGACGGACUUAGUGAUCCGGUGGUUCCGCAUGGAAGGGCCAUCGCUCAACGGAUAAAAGCUACCCCGGGGAUAACAGGCUUAUCUCCCCCAAGAGUUCACAUCGACGGGGAGGUUUGGCACCUCGAUGUCGGCUCAUCGCAUCCUGGGGCUGUAGUCGGUCCCAAGGGUUGGGCUGUUCGCCCAUUAAAGCGGUACGCGAGCUGGGUUCAGAACGUCGUGAGACAGUUCGGUCCCUAUCCGUCGUGGGCGUAGGAAAUUUGAGAGGAGCUGUCCUUAGUACGAGAGGACCGGGAUGGACAUACCUCUGGUGUACCAGUUGUCGUGCCAACGGCAUAGCUGGGUAGCUAUGUGUGGACGGGAUAAGUGCUGAAAGCAUCUAAGCAUGAAGCCCCCCUCAAGAUGAGAUUUCCCAACUUCGGUUAUAAGAUCCCUCAAAGAUGAUGAGGUUAAUAGGUUCGAGGUGGAAGCAUGGUGACAUGUGGAGCUGA
rnacentral:rRNA from 1 species